rnacentral:rRNA from 1 species
UACGUAGGUGGCAAGCGUUGUCCGGAUUUAUUGGGUUUAAAGGGUGCGUAGGCGGCUUUUUAAGUCAGUGGUGAAAGCCGAUCGCUUAACGAUCGAACUGCCAGUGAUACUGCGAGGCUUGAGUAUAGUUGAGGUAGGCGGAAUUGACAGUGUAGCGGUGAAAUGCAUAGAUAUUGUCAAGAACACCAAUUGCGAAGGCAGCUUACUAAAGUAUAACUGACGCUGAGGUGCGAAAGUGUGGGGAGCAAACAGG